GAUUCAGGUGGGCGGGCUGGUGGGCAGAAGGGCAGACGGGCAGAGGAAGUGCCAGUGCCACUGGGACCAUGGCUCUGACGGUAACGCGUGCAACGACUAACAGGGCUGACCGGCACCCACGACCGACAAGUGAAGCUCACCUUUCGAGGCUUUACCCAGAAAACAAGAAAAAUUCACUGUGGUCCAGAAGCAGAUAUCGGUGAGCUGUUCCGAUGGCCCCACUAUGGGGCUCCACUGGCUGGGGAGUGUCUGUCUGUGCAGGUGGUCAACUGCAGCCGUGUAUUCAGCCUUAGGCCUCUAGGGACCCUGGUGAUCUCCCUGCAGCAGCUACAGAAUGCUGGGCAUUUGGUGCUACGGGAAGCCCUAGUGGAUGAGAAUCUUCAAGUGUCCCCGAUCCAGGUGGAGCUUGACCUGAAGUACCAGCCCCCAGAGGGCGCUACUGGAGCCUGGUCAGAGGAGGACUUUGGGGCACCCAUCCAGGACAGCUUCGAGUUAAUCAUCCCCAAUGUGGGCUUCCAGGAACUGGAGCCUGGGGAGGCCCAGCUGGAGCGGCGGGCAGUGGCUCUAGGCCGCAGGCUAGCUCGAAGUCUAGGCCAGCAGGACGAUGAAGAGAAUGAGCUGGAGCUUGAGCUGGAGCAGGACCUGGAUGAUGAGCCUGACGUGGAACUUUCUGGUGUUAUGUUCAGCCCCCUCAAGAGCCGCGCCAGGGCCCUGGCCCAUGGGGAUCCCUUCCAGGUGUCCAGAGCUCAAGACUUCCAGGUGGGAGUCACUGUGCUGGAAGCCCAGAAACUGGUGGGAGUCAACAUUAACCCCUAUGUGGCCGUGCAAGUGGGGGGGCAGCGCCGUGUGACCGCCACACAGCGUGGGACCAGUUGCCCCUUCUACAAUGAGUACUUCUUGUUCGAAUUUCAUGACACGCGGCUUCGUCUCCAAGACUUGCUGCUGGAGAUCACGGCUUUCCAUUCGCAGACCCUCCCCUUUAUGGCCACCCGGAUAGGCACCUUCAGGAUGGACCUGGGCAUCAUCUUGGACCAGCCAGAUGGCCAGUUCUACCAAAGAUGGGUUCCGCUGCAUGAUCCCCGAGACACCCGCGCCGGGACCAAGGGUUUCAUUAAGGUCACCUUGUCCGUGAGGGCGCGCGGGGACCUGCCCCCUCCAAUGCUACCCCCGGCCCCAGGGCACUGUUCGGACAUCGAGAAGAACCUGCUCCUGCCGCGCGGGGUGCCCGCCGAGAGGCCAUGGGCGCGGCUCCGCGUGCGCCUGUACCGCGCCGAGGGGCUUCCCGCGCUGCGCCUGGGGCUGCUGGGCAGCCUGGUCCGCGCCCUGCACGACCAGCGCGUCCUGGUGGAGCCCUAUGUGCGGGUGUCUUUCCUGGGGCAGGAGGGCGAGACGUCGGUGAGCGCCGAGGCGGCGGCGCCCGAAUGGAACGAGCAGCUGAGCUUCGUGGAGCUCUUCCCGCCGCUGACGCGCAGCCUCCGCCUGCAGCUGCGGGACGACGCGCCCCUGGUCGACGCGGCACUCGCUACGCACGUGCCGGACCUGAGGCGGAUCUCCCAUCCGGGCCGCGCGGCGGGGUUUAACCCUACCUUCGGCCCGGCCUGGGUGCCCCUCUAUGGCUCGCCCCCCGGCGCGGGGCUCCGGGAUAGUCUUCAAGGUCUCAACGAAGGCGUUGGCCAAGGCAUUUGGUUCCGCGGCCGCCUUCUGCUGGCUGUGUCCAUGCAGGUGUUGGAAGGGAGAGCUGAACCUGAGCCUCCCCAGGCCCAGCAGGGGUCCACGUUGUCCCGGCUCACCCGAAAGAAGAAAAAGAAAGCCAGAAGGGAUCAGACCCCAAAGGCGGUUCCGCAGCACUUGGACGCCAGCCCCGGUGCCGAGGGGCCUGAGAUCCCCCGUGCCAUGGAGGUGGAGGUGGAGGAGCUGCUGCCGCUGCCAGAGAAUGUCCUGGCGCCCUGUGAAGAUUUCCUGCUUUUCGGUGUGCUCUUCGAGGCCACCAUGAUCGACCCCACCGUGGCCUCCCAGCCCAUCAGCUUCGAGAUCUCCAUUGGUCGCGCAGGCCGUCUGGAGGAGCAAUUGGGCCGAGGGUCCAGGGCUGGGGAGGGAACUGAGGGUGCAGCCGUGGAGGCUCAGCCUCUGCUGGGAGCCAGGCCAGAGGAGGAGAAAGAGGAGGAAGAACUGGGGACCCAUGCUCAGCGGCCUGAGCCCAUGGACGGCAGUGGGCCAUACUUCUGCUUGCCCCUCUGUCACUGCAAGCCAUGCAUGCAUGUGUGGAGUUGCUGGGAGGACCACACCUGGCGCCUGCAGAGCAGCAACUGCGUGCGCAAAGUGGCCGAGAGGCUGGACCAGGGGCUGCAGGAGGUUGAGAGACUGCAGCGCAAGCCGGGGCCUGGCGCCUGUGCACAGCUCAAGCAGGCACUGGAAGUACUGGUGGCUGGGAGCAGACAGUUUUGCCACGGUGCCGAGCGCAGGACGAUGACCCGGCCCAAUGCCCUGGAUCGAUGCCGAGGGAAACUCCUGGUGCACAGCCUGAACCUUUUGGCUAAGCAAGGACUGCGACUUCUACGCGGCCUGAGACGGCGCAAUGUGCAAAAGAAGGUGGCACUGGCCAAGAAGCUCCUGGCAAAACUGCGCUUUCUGGCUGAGGAGCCCCAGCCACCCCUCCCCGAUGUGCUGGUCUGGAUGCUCAGCGGGCAGCGCCGUGUGGCCUGGGCCCGGAUCCCUGCCCAGGAUGUGCUGUUCUCUGUGGUUGAGGAGGAACGGGGCCGAGACUGUGGGAAGAUCCAGAGUCUAAUGCUCACGGCACCCGGGGCAGCCCCUGGUGAGGUCUGUGCCAAGCUGGAGCUCUUCCUGCGGCUGGGCCUGGGCAAGCAAGCCAAGGCCUGCACCUCUGAGCUGCCCCCGGAUUUGCUGCCCGAGCCCUCAGCCGGGCUGCCCUCCAGCCUACACCGGGACGGUCCUGGAGCAGACGCUGAGCCCUCUGUGGGAUGAACUCCUGGUAUUUGAGCAGUUGAUCGUGGAUGGGAGGAGGGAGCACCUGCAGGAGGAGCCUCCAUUAGUGAUCAUCAAUGUAUUUGACCACAAUAAGUUUCCCUCAGUGCCCAGUGAGGUGGAGCCCCAGGAUCUGGCACCCCUGGUUGAGCCCCACUCUGGACGCCUGUCCCUUCCACCCAACGUGUGCCCAGUGCUCAGGGAGUUCCGUGUUGAGGUGCUGUUCUGGGGUCUUAGGGGACUUGGUCGUGUGCAUCUGCUCGAGGUGGAGCAGCCCCAGGUUGUACUGGAGGUGGCUG
ensembl:lncRNA novel transcript